UACAGAGGUCUCGAGCGUUGUUCGGAUUCAUUGGGGCGUAAAGGGCGCGUAGGCGGGCGGGGUAAGUCUGGUGUGAAAUCUCGGAGCUCAACUCCGAAAUUGCACUGGAUACUGCUCUGCUAGAGGGCUGGAGAGGAGAUCGGAAUUCACGGUGUAGCAGUGAAAUGCGUAGAUAUCGUGAGGAAGACCAGUGGCGAAGGCGGAUCUCUGGACAGCUCCUGACGCUGAGGCGCGAAGGCUAGGGGAGCAAACGGG
rnacentral:rRNA from 1 species